rnacentral:misc_RNA from 1 species
GAUGAAGAACGUAGCGAAAUGCGAUAAGUAAUGCGAAUUGCAGAAUUCCAGUGAGUCAUCGAAUCUUUGAACGCACAUUGCGCCCUUUGGUAUUCCGAAGGGCAUGCCUGUUCGAGCGUCAUUAUCACCCCUCAAGCCCCUGGGCUUGGUGUUGGACGGUUUGGCGGGAAGGCCUCUGGGUCUCCUGCCCCUCCUAAAGACAAUGACGGCGGCCUCGUUGGACCCCCGGUACACUGAGUUCUUCACGGGACACGUACUGGAGUAAGGGUGCGCGGGACACGGUCUACCUCCCCUCGUGGGAGAAACUUUUUAUCAAGGUUGACCUCGGAUCAGGUAGGGAUACCCGCUGAACUUAAGCAUAUCAAUAAGCGGAGGG